UACGUAGGGUGCGAGCGUUAAUCGGAAUUACUGGGCGUAAAGAGUGCGUAGGCGGUUCGUUAAGUCAGCUGUGAAAGCCCCGGGCUCAACCUGGGAACUGCGGUUGAAACUGGCGAACUAGAAUCUGGCAGAGGGGGUGGAAUUCCGCGUGUAGCAGUGAAAUGCGUAGAGAUGCGGAGGAACACCGAUGGCGAAGGCAGCCCCCUGGGCCGACACUGACGCUCAGGCACGAAAGCGUGGGGAGCAAACAGG
rnacentral:rRNA from 1 species